rnacentral:tRNA from 1 species
GCUCCAUCUUGUUAGCGAGGAAGAAGCGGAAGCCCAGAAGAAGACCAAUCAGCUGCAAAGCCU